UACGGGGGGGCAAGCGUUGUUCGGAAUUACUGGGCGUAAAGGGCUCGGUAGGCGGCCAACUAAGUCGGGACGUGAAAUCCCUCGGCUCAACCGGGGAACUGCGUCCGAUACUGGAUGGCUUGAGUUCGGGAGAGGGAUGCGGAAUUCCAGGUGUAGCGGUGGAAAUGCGUAGAUAUCUGGAGGAACACCGGUGGCGAAAGGCGGCAUCCUGGACC
rnacentral:rRNA from 1 species